AGAAACAAAUGUUAAAUUUACCCCUCUGUGCGCAGAUUAAGGACCUCUUCGAGUGCAGCAACAGUGUUUUCAUCAUAAUUAGCAAAAUCUCACAAAUAAGAACAAAAACUUUGUUGAACAAAUCAACUAAUAGAGUUAUAAUAAAAGACAUAUAGAGCAAUCUACAAGCACUCUAGUUAAUAACUAUAUUAUGUUGGGACAUUUCUGAACAAUCUCCUUAUAAGAGAACGCUUUUAAGUUACUUACAAUGAUCAAAUGUAUGCAAAGCCCUCACUUCAGCUGAGCAGUCUGUGAUUCUAAACUUUACCAGCCUCCAAAUUUCUGCCCUCACUUGCAGUCAAAUGGUGCCACAUCCAACUAGCCCAAUUAAAUGGAACAUUUCAGAUUACCUCUUAAAAUAGGCUGCCUGUGUGUCAUGAUCUCAUAGAUUGGAAGUGUGACCUAAAUAAUCUCCCACAAAAUGCCUAAAAUUUUCAGUUAAGACCUCACCAUUCCAAACAAACCCAACGAAAUGUAAAUUGAUUUACUUUUAACCAGCUUGCCUUGUGAAACAAUGCCACAGAGAAAAAGUAUGCAGACAUUGACAAGGUUCCCUGGAACAGUUUCUGCAAGGAGCAGAGGAGAGGCAAGCAUGACUUGAUAAAGUGUCCACAGCCCGUGACAGAGAGGAGGAAUUAGACAACCAAAAUAUCAGCACUGUUGUCUGUAAAGCUCCUGGCUGCUAUUUUGGAAAGAAAGAGAAUAAAGUCAAGGGAACUACUAGGCCAGGUGAAUGCUGGAGAUGGUAUUGUGACAUCAAGCCUAGAAGAAGAGUUCCAUUUGGUCAUUCGAUGCCUGGGAUGGAUAGGGGUAGGCAAUGAAAAUGGAUAUAAGGAGAAAGAGAAGGAUGUCAAAAAUAAGAAUCCUUUUUCCAGCGGGAUGGUUUUGUCGUUGUGGGUGAAUGUGGGUAAAGUUAAUUUGGGAGAGACAAGCCCUGUAAUUCUACGAGAAGGAGCAAUCUUUCAAGAUUAGUUACUGUUAUAAUAAAUGGCUUUUAUAAAACA
rnacentral:lncRNA from 1 species